rnacentral:lncRNA from 1 species
GUUUUAUUUUAUUCAACAUUUCACAAUGGAAUUCUGUUAGCUUUUGUAAAAAGUCUCAUUUAUAGAAUGCAAGAAAUGGGAGCAACUUUAGGAAUCAUUAAACCUAACUCUCUAAUUUUAUAGAGUUAGACCCAGAAUUUUUGCUUGAGGGAAACUAGUCAUUGAGACACAGAAAUUUUAGUUUACGUAUCCAAGGACACACUGAUGACAAAAGAAAGGUGAUGGUGAUGCAAACACCAUGGGCACCAAUGCAGGAUUCUGGCCAUUCCACCAUGCUGCCUUUCACAGCAUGACAAUGGGAAAGAGCAAAACAGCCUCCAACAUCUGGUUACUGGCCUGUACUCGCAGCUAGACACUGGUUUUCUUCUGCUGAACAUACAUCCUUGCAAAGAACAUCAACAUCAGACAAGCAUGGAGCAUUUGUGGACCACAUGCUUUUAUUUAAUCCACCUGGAACUACAAUGCUGUCCCACCACAAUUCCACCACCAUCAUUGCUCAGAUAAAUCCUAUGGAGAAGGAAAGAAUGAAGAAUGUCAGAGUGAUUACAGUACUGAAUAAAUAACUGUUGUCCUAU